rnacentral:rRNA from 1 species
CGGCCGCGUCGACCGAACGGGUGAGUAACGCGUAGGUAACCUGCCUUGUAGCGGGGAUAACUAUUGGAAACGAUAGCUAAUACCGCAUAACAAUGGAUGACACAUGUCAUUUAUUUGAAAGGGGCAAUUGCUCCACUACAAGAUGGACCCGCGUCUGAUUAGGUAGUUGGUGGGGUAACGGCCUACCAAGCCGACGAUCAGUAGCCGACCUGAGAGGGCGACCGGCCACAUUGGGACUGAGACACGGCCCAAACUCCUAC